rnacentral:rRNA from 1 species
AUUGAAGAGUUUGAUCAUGGCUCAGAUUGAACGCUGGCGGCAGGCCUAACACAUGCAAGUCGAACGGUAACAGGAAGCAGCUUGCUGCUUUGCUGACGAGUGGCGGACGGGUGAGUAAUGUCUGGGAAACUGCCUGAUGGAGGGGGAUAACUACUGGAAACGGUGGCUAAUACCGCAUAACGUCGCAAGACCAAAGAGGGGGACCUUCGGGCCUCUUGCCAUCAGAUGUGCCCAGAUGGGAUUAGCUUGUUGGUGAGGUAACGGCUCACCAAGGCGACGAUCCCUAGCUGGUCUGAGAGGAUGACCAGCCACACUGGAACUGAGACACGGUCCAGACUCCUACGGGAGGCAGCAGUGGGGAAUAUUGCACAAUGGGCGCAAGCCUGAUGCAGCCAUGCCGCGUGUAUGAAGAAGGCCUUCGGGUUGUAAAGUACUUUCAGCGGGGAGGAAGGUGUUGUGGUUAAUAACCGCAGCAAUUGACGUUACCCGCAGAAGAAGCACCGGCUAACUCCGUGCCAGCAGCCGCGGUAAUACGGAGGGUGCAAGCGUUAAUCGGAAUUACUGGGCGUAAAGCGCACGCAGGCGGUCUGUCAAGUCGGAUGUGAAAUCCCCGGGCUCAACCUGGGAACUGCAUUCGAAACUGGCAGGCUUGAGUCUUGUAGAGGGGGGUAGAAUUCCAGGUGUAGCGGUGAAAUGCGUAGAGAUCUGGAGGAAUACCGGUGGCGAAGGCGGCCCCCUGGACAAAGACUGACGCUCAGGUGCGAAAGCGUGGGGAGCAAACAGGAUUAGAUACCCUGGUAGUCCACGCCGUAAACGAUGUCUACUUGGAGGUUGUGCCCUUGAGGCGUGGCUUCCGGAGCUAACGCGUUAAGUAGACCGCCUGGGGAGUACGGCCGCAAGGUUAAAACUCAAAUGAAUUGACGGGGGCCCGCACAAGCGGUGGAGCAUGUGGUUUAAUUCGAUGCAACGCGAAGAACCUUACCUGGUCUUGACAUCCACGGAAGUUUUCAGAGAUGAGAAUGUGCCUUCGGGAACCGUGAGACAGGUGCUGCAUGGCUGUCGUCAGCUCGUGUUGUGAAAUGUUGGGUUAAGUCCCGCAACGAGCGCAACCCUUAUCCUUUGUUGCCAGCGGUCCGGCCGGGAACUCAAAGGAGACUGCCAGUGAUAAACUGGAGGAAGGUGGGGAUGACGUCAAGUCAUCAUGGCCCUUACGACCAGGGCUACACACGUGCUACAAUGGCGCAUACAAAGAGAAGCGACCUCGCGAGAGCAAGCGGACCUCAUAAAGUGCGUCGUAGUCCGGAUUGGAGUCUGCAACUCGACUCCAUGAAGUCGGAAUCGCUAGUAAUCGUGGAUCAGAAUGCCACGGUGAAUACGUUCCCGGGCCUUGUACACACCGCCCGUCACACCAUGGGAGUGGGUUGCAAAAGAAGUAGGUAGCUUAACCUUCGGGAGGGCGCUUACCACUUUGUGAUUCAUGACUGGGGUGAAGUCGUAACAAGGUAACCGUAGGGGAACCUGCGGUUGGAUCACCUCCUUACCUUAAAGAAGC